GAGCUGCGUGCGCGCUCUGCGUCAUGACGUCCCCUCCCCCACUGCGUGCGGCGCCGGGCUACGGGGUGCCGCAGCGGUCCUUGCAGGGUGCAGCCAGGGGCUCCGCUGUGCCGCGGCCAGCUCGUAGCUGGCUUUGGGAGAGGGGGUGCUCAGCCCGCAAGGGUCCGGGGGGGUUGGGUCUCCUGAGCGGGGGGAAUCUCCGGGAGGGGAUCUUCUUCCUUGUGGGGAGGCUGGAGCAGGAGGCUAAGAAGCGCUGCUUGGGGGCUGCAGCUCCUGAGCUGAAGGCGGCCGCUGCUCGGGGGAGCUCUGACCCAGCGGGGGAGUGGGGCCCCCGGAGAGGCGAGGCUCCAUCUCGGCUGUCACAAAGCGCUUCCCUUGGAAGGAUGAAGCCCACCACCAAGGGCUGCGCUAAAGGUGCUGCGGCCUCCAUGUGUCUACCCAAGAAGAGAUGAGAAGGAUGCGAGUGCUGCAGAAAACAGCUUUCCUCCAGCCCCAGCUGUGGCUCUUCCUCAUCAAACAGCGUGUAUACUGCUCCCUUCCCCUCCUACCCUGCUAAAUGCCUUAGCCUGGAGGGAAGGGUAUGCUCUUAUAAGGCAAGAAAGAAGGAUAUACAAAUAUGGAACAGGAACCUGUCCCUAGGGAGGUGGCACACUUCCAGGAAAAGCAACAGGCAAUUCCUACUGCAGUAACUGGCAAAGGAAACCCAUGGUGGAGGUUGCAGCAGGAAGAAACCUGGCCCAUAGCAUUGGGAAGAUUGAAGAAGCAACUGAAAUACUGGCAGUGUUAGAAGGCUGACUUCAUCACUAUCUGGAUGCUGCUUUGAGAUCAUCACCUGGGAAGAGUGCUGAAAAAACUUCACAUCACUGAGUUGUUUAAGACUGCUUCCUAUUUAUAACUUGACUCAUGAUGCAUGAGUGACAUGUUAUUCAGGCUAAAGGAAUGGUUGGUCUCUUGUACUAGCUUCUCUGCCCAUCUCUGGCAUCCCUCUUCUUAGGGAGGCAAGCAGUAGCAUUUGGGCUCAAGAAACCAGGUGCUUCCGGCCAUCAUGGGAACCUGGUACCUGCUCACACAAAACACAGCUCUGGCUGCUGGGUUUGACCAAAAAGUACCCUGGGCUCUGCAUGAGCCCAGGCCUUUAGACACAUGAGAGAGCACAUGUGCUUCAGCAUGCAGAGCCAGGCUUUCAGGAUAUUCAGCCUUAUGCACAGGUCCAUGUAUGUGCCUACCCAUCAGCCAGGCUGAUCCCAGUUACUCCCUGAUGGGGUUGCUUCUGUAGGACAGCCAAGGAGGGAGGGGCUUUAGAAGCCACACAAAUCCAGUGCUGAAACCUGGUGUAAAAUCAGGCUGGAAAGGGGAAUCUGAGACAGCACAUCCUGCUCUCAUUGGUAUAUCAGACUUGGGCUGUUCACUUGAUAUCUCACUGUUUUGCUCUUCAUUGCCAUAAACGGUGUGCUCAGCCUUCAAGCCCUUCACAGAGGGUUUAUAUCAUCCUUUGCUUAUAUAAACAAGAGGAGGAAAUGCUGGAAUCCUCCUCCAGUUAGGCAGCUGAGCAACGCUAGGAGCAGUCAAGGUGCUUUGGGUAAUUGGGUCAUUAUUUUAGCAGGUGGAGCAGUUUGAGAACGAAGUGGCAAGCUGUCUGGUUUCUACUAAAUCUGGGAAGGGGGGUGGGUUUCAGUGAGAGCAAAGGAUUGGGUGUGGGUCCCAUUGCCACUAAUGCACUGUGCGAGUGUAAAUUAGUCAUUUCAUCUCUGUCCCUCUGUUUUCCUUAUCUAUAGAAAAGUUUGUUUCCCAGGAGGAUUGUCAGCCUCAGUGUUGUGCUUCAGUAGCCUCAGGAAAGGAAGAGGCUGUUGCAAUACGAGGAGCUGCUAGAGGUCCUGUCUCUGCCACUGCUUUAACGUAUAGCCUUGAAAGAAUCUCUGGGCCCCCAUUUCCCCUACCCAUGUCAGUGGGUUGGAUUUCAGUGGGAAUUGGCUGUCUAGUUCCCUUCAUCUCCUUUGAAAAUCCAGUUAUAGAUGGCAAGCACUAAACAGUAGGAGCUGUGUGCUGCCUGUGCAAGGGGCUCUGCUCUUGCUUGACAUCUCUGGGUACUACUUUAAAAGCAAAGAAUAAAGUUUAGGUGAUCCAGGUUCAAAUGCUAGCAAUGUGUUUGGAGCUUGGCAAUGCGCGCAGAGCUGUGCCUGUACUGUCACCAUUGAAGUGAAAUGUUUUUGAGGUAAAAGGCAACCAUAGAAACGGCCAGAAAUGAAGCACAGCAACUGUAACAAGGCAAAAGUGUUACUACAUAAUUGCUUCAGCCAAGAUUGAGAUAGUGGGGAUUUAGGAUAUUAGAUGUUGUUAUCCAGGAUUGGAACUGAUAAGGACUUUAGUCUUAACAAUCCCUACUGUAAUAAAAAGCAAUGACUGCAAACGAUCCACAGUUCAUAUUUUAACUUUCAGCUGAAGCAGAGCCUCAACCAGGGUGCUGGGGCACUCUGGGGUGUUGCAAGAUCUUUUGAAGGGUGCCAGGAGGUGUGCAGAGAUAAAUGCAGGCUCAGGGUUGUACCUGCCUAGCCCCUAGGGGGGCUCAGAUUCUAAAAGUUGAGACCCAUUAAUCUAAAGCCUGACUUCUCCAGCAACAUGGCAAUGGUGGGGCCCAACUCCAAGCAAAACAGUGCCUCCCUCCUGUACUAUAUAGCAUUUGUGAUGGUGGUAGGCAGAACAGUUUACUUGAGGGAUUAGAACACCUCUUUCAUGGGUUUUGGCAUCCCUUUGUCACUCACAUUCACAACCUUAGGGUGCUGCUGGCUCCUCUGCUGCACCUGGAUCUUCAAGUAGCAGCAGUUCCAUCUGGUGAGAAGGCUGUGACCCCUUUAGAUUUGGAUCUGGCCACCCUCACCCAUAUCUUCGUAAUCUCAAUCCUAGAUUACUGCAGUGUGCCUCACAUACAGCUGCCUUUGAAGACCAUCCAGAAGCGGCAGCUGGUUCAGAAUGCAGCAAUCCACCUUCUGACGGAGGUGGGUCACCAGAAGCACAUCCAGCUCUCUGGAGUCUUAGAUGGUUACCAGUAGCUUUCCAGGCACAAUUCAAAGUGCUAUUUUUGACCCAUCCAUCCCUAAACGGGCCUGCCUUCCCUCUUACAUCCCAUCACAAUUUCUAAGAAAAGCUGAGAGCAACCUAUAGCAUGUACCAUCAGUAAUGCCAAGUCUGCUUAGUGAAAACACAUGGGAGGUUUUUUCCCAGCAGUCAUCCCUCAGCUAUGGAACUGCCUCCCACUUGAGACCCUCUAGAGCCUAGCUGGGACAUUUUUUCAGAAGUACUUUAAGACCUCCCUAUUUGGGCAGGUGUUUAGCAAAGAGAGAGAUAAACUGAAAUAUUUAUGGGGUUUGUUCUGUGUUGAUAUUCUAGUUCCUUUUUAAGCUGUUCUUUUUCUUUUGUCAUUCUCCUGUUUUAUAAGAUAUUCUGUUUUCUUAUUGUAAGAUACUGUGCAUCCUUUUUGGGAAGGUUGGCAUAUAAACUGUAUAAAUAAAUACUUCCUGCAGCACCAGUUGUUCUUCGUAAAGGCCUGUCUG